rnacentral:other from 19 species
AUUCAGGUCCCCACAACCGACACAAAUCGUGCAACUUGAAACUCCGCCUGGUCUUUCCAGGUCUAGAGGGGUGACAUUUUGUACUGUGCUUGACUCCACGCUCGGUCCACUGGCGAGUGCUAGUAACAGCACUGCUGCUUCGUAGCGGAGCAUGGUGGCCGCGGGAAUUCCUCCUUGGUAACAGGGACCCGCGGGGCCGAAAGCCACGUCCUCACGGACCCACCAUGUGUGCAACCCCAGCACGGCAACUUUACUGUGAAAACCACUUUAAGGUGACACUGAUACUGGUACUCAAUCACUGGUGACAGGCUAAGGAUGCCCUUCAGGUACCCUGAGGUAACACGCGACACUCGGGAUCUUGAGAAGGGGACUGGGGCUUCUUUAAAAGCGCCUAGUUUAAAAAGCUUCUACGCCUGAAUAGGUGACCGGAGGCCGGCACCUUUCUUUUAAACAACUAUUUUUA